CUACGAUAAUAGCAAACUUGUUGAAAAGCAAGGACGCAAAGCCACGGGUCUAAGGCUGAAAAGCUACGAUCGCCGGGUUGCCGAA
rnacentral:ncRNA from 1 species